UACGAAGGGGGCUAGCGUUGCUCGGAAUCACUGGGCGUAAAGCGCACGCAGGCGGCUUUUUAAGUCAGGGGUGAAAUCCUGGAGCUCAACUCCAGAACUGCCUUUGAUACUGAGAAGCUUGAGUCCGGGAGAGGUGAGUGGAACUGCGAGUGUAGAGGUGAAAUUCGUAGAUAUUCGCAAGAACACCAGUGGCGAAGGCGGCUCACUGGCCCGGUACUGACGCUGAGGUGCGAAAGCGUGGGGAGCAAACAGG
rnacentral:rRNA from 1 species